CUCGAAGGUUGUUGAUAGAAACAUGUUGCCUUUAUUGUGUGUUUUUUCGAAUUGAUAAAUAUAUGACCAGCGCUCUAGGAAAACGGCGCUUAAUGCAUGUGCGUAAAGUGUUGUCCCAGAUGAGACUGUCAGCACUGGCUUAUCAGACACAACACCUUCCGCUUAAACUGGAUUUUCCUCUUUAAACGAAAACUUGCAUAAAAGCGGAAAGAGUCGCCCCUGAUUAGCAUGUAAAGAUUUUAUUCACAUAAAAAAUUCUAUACUUCAUUGUAAAUCAAAUAAUAACAUAUGAAUGUCAGAAUAGAUCGACAUCGCAAAGUAUUGUUACGUUACACAAUAAUAUAAUGUAGAUACGGAACCAUUUAUGAAAUUUGGAAUGUUUACAACUAAUCAUUAAUAAAAUAAAUGACUAGUAAAUAUAUUUAGUCCAAAAGUCUUACGAUCAUAGUUUUUGCUUGUAAAUGUAAUUGUAUUAUCCGAAAAUAUGUAAACAUUUUUCUAUGAAAUACGAGAAUACAAGUUAAUAUAUAGCCACGAAUUGCUAGAAUACAGGUUACAUUGUUUGAAUGAAGGAUUAUAGUAUUGAUGUUUACUGUUAUUAAACGUGUUUACUACCAAAACUUAUUAAUAUAAUCAUUUUUAUAUGCUAAAAUUUUAACAAUUAUAUUGGGAAUAUUUAAAAAUGCAUUAAUCAGGAAUCAAACUUUUUUCUGGGGAGGUAAAUCAAGCGUACUGGGCGAUUCCGAGCCCUGUCCGUCACUACAAAUAGUUCAUAUUCUACACGCUGUCAUUUAAACACCGAGAGGUCACUUGUUUGCUCCCCACAGAGGGAACGUUCUAUCUUCAUCUCCCCAAAAGACACCACGUACUGAUGAAACCAGGAAACGGACUCGAGAGCGUUACGAUAAGUCUGGGGCUGCUCACGCUAUCAAGCUACAAUAAAUAUGUUUGAACUAAACGCUGUCAGUAAUGCAGAUUGUAUUGCUAGCCAAAUUAUCAAUGAAAAUGUUUAAAAAUGCUUCAUAAUUUUAUUUAUUUUGAUUUACUUAUUAUCCAUAUACGAAGCGAUGUCCAGAUUGAAAUCUAUUUUUAUGAAUAUAUGACUUUCUUUAAUUUAUAAAAAAUAAUGUUUUUGGUUUUCGGCUUUUAAAAUGCGGUUCCGUUGCCUAGGUAAUGUCAACAUCCAGCCAGGCGCUCAUACUUAAGAAAGGCGUACUGAUGGAGGAUGAAGUGCGACCGACGUCGUCGGGACAACGGUCGGGAUCUCAGUGCUCUGUGCCGACAGUUGUGAGUGGCGUGCGCUGGGCGGGACUGGUUCCUCAACGGACGUUGAUAAAGUUGACAGCCGGCCCAUUUCCGGUUGAUGUCGGCCCUACACCGCCGGUCUAGACAGAUCGUCCAUCUCUGCAAAGGUAAAAGCAGCCAGUCAGUCCUUUCCAAUACCAGAAGUUACUCGCUCUUGGUUUCCGGCCCAGUACCCUCUUGCUGGAUCCGGACUGCGUGUAUGAUGCCACCUGCCACCGCGCCUGUAGUACGCAUGCACCGCGAUCCCGGAAGGAGAGCCCACAGAAAUCGGACGCACCUAGCGGGAUCGCGGCACGGAGCGCUGUUGAUCCUCAGAUUGACAACAUCGACCGGAUCGCCCCAAGUCUGCACAUGCGCAGUGACAACAUUGACCGGAUCGCCCCAAGUCUGCACAUGCACAGUGACAACAUCGACCGGAUCGCCCCAAGUCUGCACAUGCGCAAUGACAACAUCGACCGGAUCGCCCCGAUUCUUCACAUGCGCAGUGACACACCACCCAGUCUUCCGAACGCCGCAGUUUUCAGUUUCCGGAACAACGCAAACGUGUCCCAGUCGAAGAUAAAAAAUGGUUAAGACUCCACUUUCACGAUCGCAUCUUUUAACAUUAUAUGUCCAAUUUUUGAUUAUGUUCUCAAACAACGUAACUUAUUUAGUCCUGUAAUGUUGGUGAAAAAAAAAAGAAUUUAAGUUGUAUCUACCAGCUACUGAUGAUACUUUAAGUGAUGCUCGAUUGGUCAAUUUAGACUGCACCCGAGUAUUAUUCCCGCCUUAAAUCCGACGUCGUAAAACGCGCUACGGAAUACUAAACAAAAUUAACUUUGAAGAAAAACUCAACAUGUCUUUAAGGCAGGAGUAUCGAUAAUAUAGUGGCUAUUUUUCAGAAUAUUGACAUAAAUAUGAACAUUAUUAAUAUUAAAAAUAUAGCCGACAA